CAAUUAGUGAGGAGAGAGAGGCCCCCGUCGUCUCAGUUCGUCGCCGGGUCGAGCGCGGGCUCCCAGGCGACUCGACGACCAGCGCCAGCGUGGUACGAGUACGAGGACCGUACGACUCGAUGCGGCAAGCCGACGGCGGCGAGGAUCCGCUGCGCGCGGUCGCGGAUUUCGUUUGCUGCCAAAGGCAGAGAAGGCAGCGGCGGCCCGAGAUUUGCUCAAGGCGGAUUCCGCUCGGAUGCGCAAGGCUGCAGUGGUGCAAUCCCGGAAGGCCAAGGGGGCAGAUUCUUCGGCGGAUUCGCGGCGAGCGGCGACGUAGAUCAGGAAGGACCAAGGGGGAGCUUCGGCGGCGGUCACCAAGCAGAGAAUUUCGAGCGGAGCGGUGGACCAGAGGACUUCGGCGAGCAGAGCAGAGGAGUUUUUUUUUUUUAUCAAAGCAGAGCAGAGGAGUUGGGGUUGUUAGGGGAGGUACUCCGCCAGCCUCGUUCACAGAUGGGAGUUGCUUCUUCAACGGCGUCGGAAGCUGCUUCGCCGGCGCUCCAGAGAGUCUAUGUAUGUCUCAAUCUGGUGAUCCUGCAACAUGGUCUCAAUCUGGUGAUCCUGCGCAAGAGCCGAAUUGAUGCACGCGGGAGCCGAGCGGAGCUGGAAUGGCAGCGGGCGUCGAAUGGCAAAUGGUGGACAUAGGGCGUGGGGGCGCACGCCGGCGCCCCUAGACCCAGGGUCCAUCGAAUUUUUUUUCCUGGGUGGGUCAUGAUGCAAUUGUUCCACAUGCGUAUAUUUUUAAUGGUUCUGCCUCUUCGUAUGGGCUAACGAUACCAACUAAUCUUUUUUGAAUAUGAUUUAAAUUGUGAAAUCAAUUUUAGAUAUAUGAAGGUCCUUGGAUGUAAUUAGUGGACUCGCAUUGCGAGGUUUACUUUAUCAAUGAUAGAUUUCCGAUAAUUCCGAUA